GUGGAACCAUCCACAACUACUUCGUUUCAAGGCUGACUACAUUCAGAGGAAAGAUGGCAGCUUUGAGGUAUCCAGUCAGACUGUAUUUCUUCCCUCGGGCUUGGAGGAGACCUAUUUUGAGGCUAUCGAUGCUGUCACUAUUUUAGAGGGCGAGGAGACUGUCCCAGAGGGUCUGCAUGCAGCUUUCUCAGGGCUGAACUAUCCAGACAGGCCCUUUGUCACUACAUGUCUAACUGCAGAGUUAUAAAGGACCCUGUUAAAAUGAUCUGCUGUGAUUCCAAAAACCAAAGCAUUAUCCAAAUACUUUGGCUGCUGGGGCAGAAGUAAACAACAACUGGAGUGUGUUUCUGAGAUUCUAGCGGGCACCGCUUUGUGAGGGUGAAAUUAACUUCACACUGUCUAACCCUUUUCCUUUCAUGCAGUAUUAACGGCAGAAAUGCAAGGGGAGGGGGCUAGUACAGGUAUAAGUAGACUGAAAUCAUUUAGUGAGGUGUUGUCUCCCUCUCCCCCACUCUUUGUAUUAGGUCAGGAUAGCAGUCGCUCUGACGGAAGGAGGAAUAAUCCAUCCAUCCUUUCAUUUCUCACUGAGGUGUAUAAAGCAGGGAAGCAUUAAAGCUUCUUGCAAAGAGAUGUCUGAUGUUAUUUAAAUGGUGUAACAGCAUGGCUGUGAGCAAGGCAACGGGCAAGAUGGCAUUGAAUGAGCAAGCGUGUGGAGCCUAGUGAGACUCCAGAUUAAAUUAUGUCAAUAAAAUAAAAAUAUUUUAGUUGCAGUUUAACACCAUUAGUGAGAAAGUGGGCGUGUGCACACAUGCAUGUGUUACUGUUAACGAAAUGGUAAGGUUUGGGUCAAAGACGGGAGGAAAAGCUAAAACUAACACUCUGUGCAUAACACCUGCAGAAGGAGAAACGUUUGCAUGGAGGUAGCUGGGCUGUUCUAAUUGCUUAUCUUUUUGUAUUAAACGAGAAGAAGGAUUAAUCCUUCAUUUGAUAAUGUGCCUGCAGAACAGAUUGCUUUUGCUAUAGGGGUACAAGAGCAUAUGUCCAUGUCUGGUGUACUCCCAUGACAUAAGAGCCUAACUUUUUAUUUUAAAAGGGCCACAUCCUCAACUGGUGUAAACCCAAGUAUCUCAACUGACUUCAGUGGCGCUAUCCUGAUUUACCCCUGCUGAGGAUCUCGUUCAAAAUGUCUUCUGCUCUGACAGACUUGCUGUGGUCACUGAUUUUUAUUAUAUUCCUUUUACAUCCAGACUAUACAAUCCUUAUGCUGACGAUUCUGACAAAGCCAUGACUGUAGCUGCACCCGCAGACAUGGCUAAAAUAUUGGGAAAAUAAAACCCCACUGCUGGAAUAAUUAAUCCCUGAACAGAAUUUUAAGGGCAGAAUCUUCUCUGGCACAGACCACUAGACAGUUCUUUGGUGUUCUAGAUUCGGUUUAUGUUCAUGGGAUUGGUUUCUCUAAAGAGUGACUGCACCUUUUGAAAGAACAAUGCCAGAGGGGCGGGCCAGCAUGUCGUCCUCAACACAAAUGGCUUCCCCAGUUCUGGAAAACUUGAAGAGUUGCAUUCUGACAGAUGAUUGGGCUCUUGCAGGACUAGUGGUGAUUGGGUCAUUCUGCACAGUCUUCAUUGCCCUCCUCUUGUUCGCUGCCAUCUUUGGCUGGUGCUCAGCUCCAAAGCGUAAAUCAAGUUGCAUAUAAACAACAAGGACAAGAGUGGGGCAUUUCAAGAAUACCACAACCAGGCAAGAAUUGGCCCAUCCACGAACAGUUUGAUCAGGUCAAAGGGAAGCUUCAUCUUUUAUCCUUCUUGUGUGGUUAAUUCUUCACACACAGACUUGAGGCACUCGCAAUCUGACAGCCCGCAUAUAAGACUGCACCUGCAAGGGAGGCCCUCAUGCUGUUGUGUACUCAAUUACAAAUCUCGACACACAAUGCAAUCUCAAUUCAGGACCAUGUGACCAGCCAAACCUUACAGUCAAGAUAUUUGCUUGCUUGAACUUUUCCCCGACAAGGAAAAUUACUGGGUUACUGCCAUUCUGAAGCUGGAAGAGACCCUCAAGUAACCCCACCACAUUCAGAUGAGGAAGGAAAUAGCCCCCAGAUCAAAAGCUCAUCUCGACCCUUCUAUGUGAAAAGCUUUUUCGUUAAAAGAACCUGAUGCAACGUUCUUCUGCUCUGGUUACAUAACAACCUAAAAUAACAUGCGUGCAAGACAA